CAGGAUAUUUCAAAUCAAGACACAACCAGAGGGAAGAAUAGUAGAAAAUUGGCAAUUUCCAAAUGUGGAGCUGAAACAGUGGUUGAAACUCCAAUUCAGGUAAGAAGAGGAAAUUUAUUUAUUAGAAUUGUAUUUUCCUUUUCCUUCACAAAGUCAGAGGUGGUGUACAUAAUACUGUCUCCUUCCAUUAAUGUUUUUGAAGACCACUACUUUUAAAAAGUGCUUGCGCGUAUCACCCCUGGCUUCCUUUUUGCUGUCAGAGGCCUUCAGGAAAGCCCCCUGCAGCCGAGAAACGAGAUCCAGAUUGAUGGGCACCUUUCUGAAGGCCUAUGACAGCAAAACGGAGGUUGGGGGCAAUAUGCACAAUUGGUGGCAAGUGGCCACAGAAGAAGUGAGCCGGCAGUGGCCACAUGAGCUGCUGUUGGUGCUGCCGCCGCGAAGUGAGACUGGGAAAAACAUUCCACAAAUAUAAGACCUAAUGCCUCUUUUGGAGAAAAAAAAUUAAACCUGGUCUUAUUUUUGGGGAUUACUCUAAACCUUUUCAAGUAAUCCUUCAUGAUGCCCAAUCUUUUUGUAAUUCUUUGAGUUGGAUUUGUGCAAAGGAUGCUUAAAAAGAACUUAAUAUUUACACUGGCAAAUUAUCAUUUUU